UUUAAAGAGAGUUUGAUCCUGGCUCAGGACGAACGCUGGCGGCGUGCCUAAUACAUGCAAGUCGAACGAACGGAGGAAGAGCUUGCUCUUCCAAAGUUAGUGGCGGACGGGUGAGUAACACGUGGGCAACCUGCCUGUAAGUUGGGGAUAACUCCGGGAAACCGGGGCUAAUACCGAAUGAUAAAGUGUGGCGCAUGCCACGCUUUUGAAAGAUGGUUUCGGCUAUCGCUUACAGAUGGGCCCGCGGUGCAUUAGCUAGUUGGUAGGGUAAUGGCCUACCAAGGCAACGAUGCAUAGCCGACCUGAGAGGGUGAUCGGCCACACUGGGACUGAGACACGGCCCAGACUCCUACGGGAGGCAGCAGUAGGGAAUCUUCCGCAAUGGACGAAAGUCUGACGGAGCAACGCCGCGUGUAUGAAGAAGGUUUUCGGAUCGUAAAGUACUGUUGUUAGAGAAGAACAAGGAUAAGAGUAACUGCUUGUCCCUUGACGGUAUCUAACCAGAAAGCCACGGCUAACUACGUGCCAGCAGCCGCGGUAAUACGUAGGUGGCAAGCGUUGUCCGGAUUUAUUGGGCGUAAAGCGCGCGCAGGCGGU
rnacentral:rRNA from 1 species